rnacentral:lncRNA from 1 species
GUGGAUGUUAAUUUUUGCUCCUGUGAGUGUUUCAGUGGUAGAGGUUCGAUGGAAGUGGAAGUCUGUGGUAGUGGAUGAGAGUAGUGGGUCAGUUUUGGGGGAUUUGUUUGUUAGUGGGAUAAUAGGGAGUUGGGAUAAUCUUUUUGAUUUUUUUCUUUUUAUUUUAUUUUUCCUCUCUCUUAAAAAUCAAUUUGUUCUUUUCACGUUCUUUUUCUUUGGGUUUUCCUUCUUUUUUUUGUUUUCUUUCUUUGUUUACUUUCCUGUUCAAGCAUUUCACGUUUGGUUUGUGGAAAUCUUUGUCAUGCAGGUUCGAUUGCUAUUGUUUUGGUAGGUAUGUGACUUUAUUUAAGUUUUGGUUAUGGAAAUUGAGGAAUAGGUUGGGGGUUUCGUUUGUGUUGUAAUGUGUUUAAAGGGUUUUCUUUUAACCAUUUUCCCUUUUGUUUAUUGUUUGAUAAUCGAUUAGGGGAGGAUUGCGAGUUAGUGGGUGUUUUCUCUAGAGGAGUGAUUGUUGUGGAUCGCUGCCUUCGAGGGUAAGUGAGCCCACUAAAUUCUGUGUGGUUACGGUUGUUCGGGUUUUUCAACAUGUUAAGAACA